UACGGGGGGGGCAAGCGUUGUUCGGAAUUACUGGGCGUAAAGGGCUCGUAGGCGGCCAACUAAGUCGGAUGUGAAAUCCCCAGGCUUAACCUGGGAACUGCAUCCGAUACUGGUUGGCUUGAAUCCGGGAGAGGGAUGCAGAAUUCCAGGUGUAGCGGUGAAAUGCGUAGAUAUCUGGAGGAAUACCGGUGGCGAAGGCGGCAUUCUGGACUGCAACUGACACUGAGGAACGAAAGCCAGGGGAGCAAACGGG
rnacentral:rRNA from 1 species